UAAGUAAAUGAUGUUUACGUAAUGUAUUAAAUUAUUAUAUAAGUUGUACAAGCAACACAUGUUUAUUUACUGAAUAAUAUAACAUUUUAAAGAAAACUUUUUACGUAAACCUUAACUUGAAAUAAAUAAAAAUUAUUCAUUUAUUUUUGUCUUAAUAAAUCAUCAAGUCGAAUUCCAAAAUAUAUUUGCUGCCGUAAAAAGACAAAUACAGUGCAGCAUUACUUAACACUGCGAUCGUGAAUAACACAAGCACGUCAUUCAUAAACAAUAUGCUGAUGCAAUAGAAAUGGUAUCAGUUUCUUAGUGCCUACAGCUAACUGCAGAACCGCAACAGGAAAUGGAAUGUAUAGGUAGAAAAAGGUUUUUCCGUAUUACAACAAUAUGUUUGUUAGUUUGGUAUGUAUAUGCUUAUAUUCAUUUGCUAUAUAACCUUUAUGUAAAAUUAUUGCACUUUUCACCCCAAGACCCUGUUCGUAGGGAGGCGCCGAGACGGAUGCAGCAGUUAAUUUAAUAUUAAUUUAACAGCAUGUCUGUCACGUAAAACUGCCGCGGAUAGUUGUGUAGCCAAUAACCAUGGUGUCAGAUGAUGCCAUACGAAAUUGCUGCAUAAAACUGGCUAUAUCAUCUGGUUCUGCCGGAAUUGCCGAAAGCAUAACGUUUCCCUUUGAUCUUACCAAGACAAGAUUACAAAUACAAGGUGAAGUUGCAUCUAACAGUCAUGGAACUACUUUGGUAAAACGUCGUAUGUUAAGAACAGUCUAUCACGUAGCCAGCGAUGAAGGGUUUACAAAGCUGUGGAGUGGUCUAUCACCAGCUGUGUAUCGACAAUUUAUUUAUUCUGGCUGUCGUGCACCAUUGUAUGAAUUUUUGAGGGAACAUGUCCUAGGCAAGAAUCCAGAUGGAAAAUUUUCCUUUUUUAAAUCGUUGCUUGCGGGUGCAACUGCUGGAGCAAUUGGACAGUUUAUUGCAAGCCCAUUGGACUUGGUGAAAGUCAAAAUGCAAAUGGUGAAUCAGAAAACAUGUGUUCCACAAAAGACAAUAAAGUUCCGAUCUGUAUUUCAUGUGCUACAGCAUACGUAUAGUUCCGGUGGUAUCAAAGGUUUAUGGGCUGGAUGGGGACCAAAUGUAAAGAGAGCUACCUUAGUAAACAUGGGACAAUUUGCCACUUAUGACAAUGUCAAACAAUAUAUAUUGAAAAACAGUAAACUUAAUGAUGCAAUUGCCUGCUGGUCUUUAGCAAGCCUUUGUACUGGGUUCGUGACCUCAACCAUAAGCACGCCUGCUGAUGUUGUGAAGACAAGAGUCAUGAAUCAAACCAGAGAUUCAAAAGGCAGAGGUUUAUUUUAUAAAUCUUCUUUAGAGUGUUUGGUAAAAACAGCCCGCCAAGAAGGAUUUUUCAGCCUAUAUAAAGGUUUUAUUCCAAGCUGUUUACGCAUUGUACCUUGGAAUAUUAUUUUUUGGAUAACGCAAGAAGAGUUACGUAAUAUGUUUGGCUUAUCUGCAUUUUAGUGUUAAACCUGAAAGUGUUGAAACAUUUCACUUUCAACAAGUGGAUUAAUUCUUGAGUUUUUCUUAUUAUUUUACUGUAUGCCUAUUGCAUUUUUAAUUUACAUACUCUACUGACCAUACAACACGGUAUACAAAUGUUAUUAAAUUUCCAGCUGGUGGAAUCAACUGCUGCUUUAUAAUAAUCCGCAAUCGUAAAUUAACUUGCAAUAAUUUAAAAGGCCACACCUCAGUAAAUUAAUGGUGAUACAUCAAACUAUGUCCAAUAUAUUACUACAGCUUAAACACAUCAUAUAUGUGCACUGUAUUACAUGUGGUUUAAAAAAUAAAUCUUUUUGGCUGCAAAUAAUUUGUUCAUGUAAAAACUAUUUCAUUUUAAUUGCCAGUUAAUGCAAGUGUGAUUUCACGCUUUUAAUUUUAUUCAUUGCUUGGCUUUUCCUCUGCCAAUAAAUUGAUUUUCGUUA